CACGUAGGGCGCAAGCGUUGUCCGGAAUUAUUGGGCGUAAAGAGCUCGUAGGCGGCUUGUUGCGUCUGCUGUGAAAUCCCGGGGCUCAACCCCGGGCGUGCAGUGGAUACGGGCUGGCUAGAGGCAGGCAGGGGAGAACGGAAUUCCUGGUGUAGCGGUGAAAUGCGCAGAUAUCAGGAGGAACACCAAUGGCGAAGGCAGCUCGCUGGGACGGUACUGACGCUGAGGCGCGAAAGCGUGGGGAGCAAACAGG
rnacentral:rRNA from 1 species